GACAGAGGCCCCGAGCGUUAGGCGGAAUCACUGGGCUUAAAGCGUGUGUAGGCGGUCCCGUAAGUACCUUGUGAAAUCCCACGGCUCAACCGUGGAACGGCUGGGUAUACUGCGGGUCUUGGGCCAACUAGGGGCAGCCGGAACAAGCGGUGGAGCGGUGAAAUGCGUAGAUAUCGCUUGGAACGCCGAAGGUGAAAACAGGCUGCUGGGGUUGCGCCGACGCUGAGACACGAAAGCCAGGGGAGCAAACGGG
rnacentral:rRNA from 1 species